rnacentral:rRNA from 1 species
AGAGUUUGAUUCUGGCUCAGAACGAACGCUGGCGGCGUGGAUAAGACAUGCAAGUCGAACGAGAGAAUUGCUAGCUUGCUAAUAAUUCUCUAGUGGCGCACGGGUGAGUAACACGUGAGUAACCUGCCCCCGAGAGCGGGAUAGCCCUGGGAAACUGGGAUUAAUACCGCAUAGUAUCGAAAGAUUAAAGCAGCAAUGCGCUUGGGGAUGGGCUCGCGGCCUAUUAGUUAGUUGGUGAGGUAACGGCUCACCAAGGCGAUGACGGGUAGCCGGUCUGAGAGGAUGUCCGGCCACACUGGAACUGAGACACGGUCCAGACACCUACGGGUGGCAGCAGUCGAGAAUCAUUCACAAUGGGGGAAACCCUGAUGGUGCGACGCCGCGUGGGGGAAUGAAGGUCUUCGGAUUGUAAACCCCUGUCAUGUGGGAGCAAAUUAAAAAGAUAGUACCACAAGAGGAAGAGACGGCUAACUCUGUGCCAGCAGCCGCGGUAAUACAGAGGUCUCAAGCGUUGUUCGGAAUCACUGGGCGUAAAGCGUGCGUAGGCUGUUUCGUAAGAUCGUGGUGAAAGGCGCGGGCUCAACCCGCGGACGGCACAUGAUACUGCGAGACUAGAGUAAUGGAGGGGGAACCGGAAUUCUCGGUGUAGCAGUGAAAUGCGUAGAUAUCGAGAGGAACACUCGUGGCGAAGGCGGGUUCCUGGACAUUAACUGACGCUGAGGCACGAAGGCCAGGGGAGCGAAAGGGAUUAGAUACCCCUGUAGUCCUGGCAGUAAACGGUGCACGCUUGGUGUGCGGGGAAUCGACCCCCUGCGUGCCGGAGCUAACGCGUUAAGCGUGCCGCCUGGGGAGUACGGUCGCAAGAUUAAAACUCAAAGAAAUUGACGGGGACCCGCACAAGCGGUGGAGUAUGUGGCUUAAUUCGAUGCAACGCGAAGAACCUUACCUGGGCUUGACAUGUAAUGAACAACAUGUGAAAGCAUGCGACUCUUCGGAGGCGUUACACAGGUGCUGCAUGGCCGUCGUCAGCUCGUGUCGUGAGAUGUUUGGUUAAGUCCAGCAACGAGCGCAACCCCUGUUGCCAGUUACCAGCACGUGAAGGUGGGGACUCUGGCGAGACUGCCCAGAUCAACUGGGAGGAAGGUGGGGACGACGUCAGGUCAGUAUGGCCCUUAUGCCCAGGGCUGCACACGUACUACAAUGCCCAGUACAGAGGGGGCCGAAGCCGCGAGGCGGAGGAAAUCCUAAAAACUGGGCCCAGUUCGGACUGUAGGCUGCAACCCGCCUACACGAAGCCGGAAUCGCUAGUAAUGGCGCAUCAGCUACGGCGCCGUGAAUACGUUCCCGGGUCUUGUACACACCGCCCGUCACAUCAUGGAAGCCGGUCGCACCCGAAGUAUCUGAAGCCAACCGCAAGGAGGCAGGGUCCUAAGGUGAGACUGGUAACUGGGAUGAAGUCGUAACAAGGUAGCCGUAGGGGAACCUGCGG